UCGUAAUAGCUAGGAUCAGAUCAUUUCAACUUCCCGACUCUCGCAUCCCGGAUUGUUCCGCCGCCCGCACACGUCUCUCCUCUUCCGUUGCUCUCCUGCCUCCAGCUCUCCACGGUCUCUGACCCGCACAACUGAACCCGCGAUGGCGCGCCGCCUCCUCGUCGCCCUCCUCGCCGCGUCGCUCCUGCUCCCGCUCGCCCGCCCGGACUCCUCCUCGUCCCCGCCCGCCGCCACCGCGUACGACGAGCUCCGCCUCCGGGGCUUCCCGCGCGGCCUGCUCCCGGCCAACGUGCGGGCCUACACGCUCGACUCCGGCUCCGGGGACUUCGCCGUCGACCUCCGCUCCAGCUGCCGGAUCGUGCUGCCCGCGGGGAGCUACCUCGCCGCCUUCAGCGACCGACUCACGGGCCGCCUCGACGACCGCCGCAUCUCGGGCCUCGACGGCAUCCGCGUCAGGGCCUUCUUCCGCUGGUGGUCCAUCACGGGGAUCCGCGCCGAUGGGGACCAGCUCGUCUUCGAGGUCGGCUCCGUCUCCGCCAAGUUCCCCGCGCGGGACUUCAACGCCAGCCUCGACUGCCCCGCCCAGGCGGCGUCCUAAGUCAAGGAGCUGUCCAAAAGCAAAUAUAUAUGCACUGGCACUUCAUUCUUGGAAUGGUUGAAAUUACAACUGAUGGAAGUGUCAGUCAGGCAGUCAGGCUGAAGCAUCAAGUUAGCUCGGACCAAAUGUGUAAAAGAGUCCGGUAUCCUGUCGCAUGUUCCAUGACAUGUGACAUUCUAAAGGGGCAGUUGGAAGCCAAGCACAUCAAUGUUUUUAAUUUCAUCUGUCUUUAUUGUAAUUGUAUAAGUUUACAAUAGAUGCAUAGAACAGACUGGAUCGAUAAAAGCGCCUUCACAGACCAAAAACCCGGUAUCACGGUAGUGGUUCGUGCAUUUCGUUAGAAAUGCCCUACGUCUUAUUUUGAAAAGUUGUGCUUGUAUAUCUUACUUAUUGACAAUAGCUGUACUUAUAAGACUACUUGCAUAAAGAAGAAAAGUGAGGUGCAAGGCCGAAAGGCCCCUAUGCGCUAAAUACAAAUGCCUUUGUGAAUAGAAGACUUUUUUUUUGUUAUCA